rnacentral:lncRNA from 1 species
GUAGUUUUUUUUUAAAAAAAAGAAUGGAUGUUUUAAUAAAAUAAAACAUAUGAAUUAGUUAAGAGAGAGAGAGGAGGCUUUUAAUAAAAUAAAUCUUAAACAAAUAGGUUAUCGUUGAAGUGAGCAUAAGUAAGAGAGCUAGGAUAUUGGGUUUUUUUAUUUGAAUGAAAGAGGGCAACCGUGAGAUAAAAGAAAAAAGGGAAAAUUGAUUGAGGAGGAGAGAAAAUUUUGAAUUUGGACGAAGUGACGAAAUUUGACAAGAGAAAACGGGAAAAACUAAACGAAAAGAAUGAAAGGUGGAAGUGGGUGUUUCUUUUGUGGGUUCUUUUAGAGAGAGAACG